UUAACACAUGCAAGUCGAGGGGCAGCACAGGUAGCAAUACCGGGUGGCGACCGGCGCACGGGUGAGUAACGCGUAUGCAACUUGCCUAUCAGAGGGGGAUAACCCGGCGAAAGUCGGACUAAUACCGCAUGAAGCAGGGGCCCCGCAUGGGGAUAUUUGCUAAAGAUUCAUCGCUGAUAGAUAGGCAUGCGUUCCAUUAGGCAGUUGGCGGGGUAACGGCCCACCAAACCGACGAUGGAUAGGGGUUCUGAGAGGAAGGUCCCCCACAUUGGUACUGAGACACGGACCAAACUCCUACGGGAGGCAGCAGUGAGGAAUAUUGGUCAAUGGGCGUAAGCCUGAACCAGCCAAGUCGCGUGAGGGAUGAAGGUUCUAUGGAUCGUAAACCUCUUUUAUAAGGGAAUAAAGUGCGGGACGUGUCCCGUUUUGUAUGUACCUUAUGAAUAAGGAUCGGCUAACUCCGUGCCAGCAGCCGCGGUAAUACGGAGGAUCCGAGCGUUAUCCGGAUUUAUUGGGUUUAAAGGGUGCGUAGGCGGCCUUUUAAGUCAGCGGUGAAAGUCUGUGGCUCAACCAUAGAAUUGCCGUUGAAACUGGGGGGCUUGAGUAUGUUUGAGGCAGGCGGAAUGCGUGGUGUAGCGGUGAAAUGCAUAGAUAUCACGCAGAACCCCGAUUGCGAAGGCAGCCUGCCAAGCCAUUACUGACGCUGAUGCACGAAAGCGUGGGGAUCAAACAGGAUUAGAUACCCUGGUAGUCCACGCAGUAAACGAUGAUCACUAGCUGUUUGCGAUACACUGUAAGCGGCACAGCGAAAGCGUUAAGUGAUCCACCUGGGGAGUACGCCGGCAACGGUGAAACUCAAAGGAAUUGACGGGGGCCCGCACAAGCGGAGGAACAUGUGGUUUAAUUCGAUGAUACGCGAGGAACCUUACCCGGGUUUGAACGCAUUCGGACCGAGGUGGAAACACCUUUUCUAGCAAUAGCCGUUUGCGAGGUGCUGCAUGGUUGUCGUCAGCUCGUGCCGUGAGGUGUCGGCUUAAGUGCCAUAACGAGCGCAACCCUUGCCACUAGUUACUAACAGGUAAAGCUGAGGACUCUGGUGGGACUGCCAGCGUAAGCUGCGAGGAAGGCGGGGAUGACGUCAAAUCAGCACGGCCCUUACAUCCGGGGCGACACACGUGUUACAAUGGCGUGGACAAAGGGAAGCCACCUGGCGACAGGGAGCGAAUCCCCAAACCACGUCUCAGUUCGGAUCGGAGUCUGCAACCCGACUCCGUGAAGCUGGAUUCGCUAGUAAUCGCGCAUCAGCCAUGGCGCGGUGAAUACGUUCCCGGGCCUUGUACACACCGCCCGUCAAGCCAUGGGAGCCGGGGGUACCUGAAGUCCGUAACCGAAAGGAUCGGCCUAGGGUAAAACUGGUGACUGG
rnacentral:rRNA from 1 species